GCAUAACAACCUGGACUAACAAACCAAAUCCUGGCCGGCUUUGUAGCCUACGAGACGCAGCGCCCAAGCUUCCUUUCGUACGCACGCACGUACGAGCGCCCAGAGACUAGCUCGCCUACGCUGUCCUCUACUACGCGUUCUAACGCGUCCAGCCACGGCUGCUGCUAACUGACUACGACUCGAUCAUGAGCACAGACUCGACACGCACACACGCACCCAACGCACGCACACAUGCACGCACGCCACGGCGUCCGGCACGACCAACACGCACGCACACGUUGGUCACCACCACCACCGUGUCUUAUUCCUAACAUAGUACCUUAGCAGUUGGCACUCACCUCAUAGCAGUCCAUGAGCUUGCAGGCAAAUUGAGAUCAAUAAUUCCUCCACCAUCUGCAAAAGAAAUACUCCCUCCGUCCGGGUGUAUAAGUCAUUCGCGUAGUUCUAGGUCAUCGAUUUGAGGAAUUAAAUAUGUGUUAUAUGUCAUGAAAAGUAUACCACUAGAUUUCCACACGGAUGUAGUUUGUAAAUAUAUAUUUUUUGUCACAUAUAAUACAUAUUUAGAUAGUUAAAUUAUCGACCUAGAACUACGCGAAUGACUUAUACACCGGGACGGAGGUAGUAGAUAGUUCCAUUCAGCAUUACUCAAUAAUGCACAGCUUGUUCAACCAAUGUAACAGAACCAUCUCAACAAUAAGACUAUAGUAGUACACAAUGAAUGCCGCAAUUGGUGUUUAAUCAUGCAUAGAUCAAUGAUAAAUUCUGCUGGACUUGAAAAAAGCUAGCUACCCACUUCUUCCCCUUUCUAGUGUGAGGUAGUCGAAGGAAAAACAAGUAUGAAAAUAUAGAACAAACAAUAAAGUGUAGCCACUCCUUUUUGUUGGUUGCAAGGAAUCAAACAGAACAUAGAAUUCUAUGUCACUCAAAAAGUUGGAAAGUAGUUACGGUUGUUGAAAGGAUGAGUGGGAAACAACUUCUCUUUUUUAGUGUGUAUACUGAGACCUGGAUACUAUGCCGACAUCUUGCCAUUAGGAUCAUUCAGUCUCUGCUAAUGAUUAGAGUUGAGAGAGGUAAUAUCUCCAGAGUAUAAAGAUAAUCAAUUUAUAUUCGAAAAUGAUGCUUCAAAAUUUCUAUCUACUAUCUGUUGAAUACAGACUUUUUCCUUUGAGACCCUUGCAAAGUAUAGCUUCUUAUGAGAGAGCAAGAGAGUUGCAAAGAAGGUCUGCUACGUGAGGUGUAGAAGGGCUCCCUCAUAGGAAAUAACCACUAAUUAAGUAAUUAUUAGGAAAAUAGUUGACCUUGUCAUAUCACUGAUGAUCAUCUGUGUUGAACAUGCAGUGUAUCUAGUGAACAAAAUUUGUACGUUUAUACAUCAUUUUGUUGUUUACACAUCUCUUUAUUCAAAAGAGAAAGGUCCAUAUACUCGCACAUUCUUGACUUACACAUCAGUAUUAGCAAAGCAAAAACACAGUGCAAUGCUCUAAACAGACUUAUGCUAGGAUCAGAAUUAGUUGACCCUGCUGCCUCCAAAUAAGCAUUAAAAGUCUACCCAAAUUCAAUGAAACAUCCCAAAACAAACUCCCAACCACCCAGCAGAAGAAAAAGAAAUAUUGAUUACACAAAAGAGCAUAAACAGAAAUAAAUCUUUUCCUACCCUGCUUGGGUUUUCAUCAAGCACCUUAUAGUCACAUACACACAAAUCUGCACAACCGAAGAUGAAAAAUUAUAGGGGUUAAAUCAAAGAAAAGCAGUGGAUGCCAGAAGAGCAUCUAUUCAGGAAGAAGAGAAGUAUUGAGUACCUUCAAUGCAUGGACAGGCCUGGGCAAUGGAUGGCCACCGUGGUACGUGCUGGCACAGCAUAGAAGAAGAACGGGUGUGUGUGUGUGUGAGAGAGAGAUGCUUGCUGGGGCUAGGCGUCGAGGCCGCCGGUGUUGAGCAAUGCCGCAGCCUGGAAGUCACCAUUGGCUCUGGGGCUGCUGCUGGUGGCCGGCGGUUGCGGAGGGGGCCCAGCCGUCGAGGCGACAGCGAGGGGCCCAUGAGAGGGGUUGGCGAGAAGAUGGACCUGCUUGGGCCGGCGGGAACCGCUGGACGUCGUCGCCGUCAUGGAUUCAGCCGCCGCCGCCGCACCAUACGGGCUGGAUCCGCCGAUCCGGUCGCUGCGUCGACGAAGUCGUGGCUAGGGCCAGCGACGACGUUGCGGUGGGAUGGAGCAGUAUAGGCGGCGGCCGCGUCGUCCCGGUGCUAGAGGAAAAGGGGGGCUGCCGCGCCGUCCCCGUGCCGGUGGAAAAAGGAGGCGGCCGCGUCUGGGGUGGAGGAGCUCCUUGCGAUCCGCUGGCUGGGCAUUUGGGCACAUGCGGGGGCCUUUUUAUGCGCUUACAGCGGCAGAGCGGUGGCA
rnacentral:lncRNA from 1 species